rnacentral:rRNA from 1 species
CAGUCGCCGCGGUAAUACGGAGGGGGCUAGCGUUGUUCGGAAUUACUGGGCGUAAAGCGUACGUAGGCGGAUACUUAAGUCAGGGGUGAAAUCCCGAGGCUCAACCUCGGAACUGCCUUUGAUACUGGGUAUCUUGAGUCCGAGAGAGGUGAGUGGGACUCCUAGUGUAGAGGUGAAAUUCGUAGAUAUUCGCAGGAACACCAGUGGCGAAGGCGGCUCACUGGCUCGAUACUGACGCUGAGAUGCGAAAGCGUGGGGAGCAAACAGGAUUAGAUACCCGCGUAGUCCCUGUCUCUUAUAC